UCACCAUUUCAUACGUUCGUCGCGUGAUGGAUUUGAUGACCCUUAAAUCCGCCCCUGAGUUGAAAUGUCAGUGUAUUUUGUGUAGAGUGGUUGAACUGUUACCGUAGUGAAUCAUAAUGUUUCAUUUAAAUUGUGUACAUGGAAACAGAUCGGGGCAGUGCUCCAUCGAAAUUUGAGCGAACUCGAAGAAUCUGUAUGUCCAAUGCUACCAGAGGCGAUCCGUGCAGCGUGGAUGACAUACACUGGACUAAUCUUUCUCUAAUCGUUGUACAUGGAAACUGCUAAUAUAAUCGUUGUACAUGGAAACUGCUAAUAUAAGUGAAAUUUGAGCUCCUUAUCAUGUGACAACUAUAAUAGAAGGUAUGCAGAAAUCUUUCAAAAUCAGUACAUGGUAGUACAAUGAAAUAAAUCACAAAUCGGCUCAAGUCCGUUUGGCAGGAUACAUGUGACAUGGAUGGAUUUACAUGCAGGUAGCAUGGUCUAUGUAAGUCUGAAAUUAAUAGGAGAAAGUAAGCAUAGACGAACUCAUUAUUUUGGGGGGGCUCCCCAACAGCCCCCCAUCUGGUUCAACUGCUCUUUAAAUUACAUGUUUCACUUGUAAAUAAAUCUACUUUAUUCAUAUUUUUAGGUGUUUUGAAACAUUUUCAGAGAGGUUAGUCAACAUUAAUGAUCAUCUCAUAUCUCAAGUUAUUAUGCUGCAAC